CCUACGGGAGGCUGCAGUGGGGACUAUUGCACAAUGGGCGCAAGCCUGAUGCAGCCAUGCCGCGUGUGUGAAGAAGGCCUUCGGGUUGUAAAGCACUUUCAGCGGGGAGGAAGGCGUUAAGGUUAAUAACCUUGUCGAUUGACGUUACCCGCAGAAGAAGCACCGGCUAACUCCGUGCCAGCAGCCGCGGUAAUACGGAGGGUGCAAGCGUUAAUCGGAAUUACUGGGCGUAAAGCGCACGCAGGCGGUCUGUCAAGUCGGAUGUGAAAUCCCCGGGCUCAACCUGGGAACUGCAUUCGAAACUGGCAGGCUAGAGUCUUGUAGAGGGGGGUAGAAUUCCAGGUGUAGCGGUGAAAUGCGUAGAGAUCUGGAGGAAUACCGGUGGCGAAGGCGGCCCCCUGGACAAAGACUGACGCUCAGGUGCGAAAGCGUGGGGAGCAAACAGGAUUAGAUACCCUAGUAGUC
rnacentral:rRNA from 1 species